GAUGAACGCUGGCGGCGUGCCUAAUACAUGCAAGUCGAGCGAACAGACGAGGAGCUUGCUCCUCUGACGUUAGCGGCGGACGGGUGAGUAACACGUGGAUAACCUACCUAUAAGACUGGGAUAACUUCGGGAAACCGGAGCUAAUACCGGAUAAUAUAUUGAACCGCAUGGUUCAAUAGUGAAAGACGGUUUUGCUGUCACUUAUAGAUGGAUCCGCGCCGCAUUAGCUAGUUGGUAAGGUAACGGCUUACCAAGGCAACGAUGCGUAGCCGACCUGAGAGGGUGAUCGGACACACUGGAACUGAGACACGGUCCAGACUCCUACGGGAGGCAGCAGUAGGGAAUCUUCCGCAAUGGGGGAGAGCCUGACGGAGCAACGCCGCGUGAGUGAUGAAGGUCUUCGGAUCGUAAAACUCUGUUAUUAGGGAAGAACAAAUGUGUAAGUAACUAUGCACGUCUUGACGGUACCUAAUCAGAAAGCCACGGCUAACUACGUG
rnacentral:rRNA from 1 species